rnacentral:rRNA from 1 species
AUUCCAGCUCCAAUAGCGUAUAUUUAAGUUGUUGCAGUUAAAAAGCUCGUAGUUGGAUUUUGGUUAAGAGGGCGCGGUCGGCCGUUUGGUCUGUACUGCGUUGUCUUGACUUCCUGAUGAGGACUUGCUCUUGGUUAACGCUGAGACAUGGAGUCAUCGUGGUUACUUUGAAAAAAUUAGGGUGUUCAAGGCAGGCUAUCGCCAUGAAUACACAAGCAUGGAAUAAUGGAAUAGGACUCUCAGUCAUUUUAUUGGUUAUUGACUGAAAGUAAUGAUUAAUAGGGACAGUUGGGGGCAUUCGUAUUUAAUUGUCAGAGGUGAAAUUCUUGGAUUUAUUAAAGACGAACUUAUGCGAAAGCAUUUGCCAAGGAUGUUUUCAUCA